rnacentral:rRNA from 1 species
AGCGAACGCUGGCGGCAGGCUUAACACAUGCCAGUCGAGCGCCCCGCAAGGGGAGCGGCAGACGGGAGAGUAACACGUGGGAACAUACCUUUUGGUUCGGAACAACUGAGGGAAACUUCAGCUAAUACCGGAUAAGCCCUUACGGGGAAAGAUUUAUCGCCGAAAGAUUGGCCCGCGUCUGAUUAGCUAGUUGGUGAGGUAACGGCUCACCAAGGCGACGAUCAGUAGCUGGUCUGAGAGGAUGAUCAGCCUCACUGGGACUGAGACACGGCCCAGACUCAUACGGGAGGCAGCCGUGGGGAAUCUUCGACAAUGGGGGCAACCCUGAGCCAGCCAGGUCGCGUGAGUGUCGAAGGCCUUAGGGUUGUCAAGGUCUUUUGCCCGGGAAGAUAAUGACGGUACCGGGAGAAUAAGCCCCGGCUAACUUCGUG